rnacentral:rRNA from 1 species
UACGAAGGGGGCUAGCGUUGCUCGGAAUCACUGGGCGUAAAGCGCACGUAGGCGGCUUUUUAAGUCAGGGGUGAAAUCCUGGAGCUCAACUCCAGAACUGCCUUUGAUACUGGGAAGCUCGAGUCCGGAAGAGGUGAGUGGAACUGCGAGUGUAGAGGUGAAAUUCGUAGAUAUUCGCAAGAACACCAGUGGCGAAGGCGGCUCACUGGUCCGGUACUGACGCUGAGGUGCGAAAGCGUGGGGAGCAAACAGG